rnacentral:piRNA from 1 species
UGCAGGCUUUGUGUAAACAACAGUAAU